rnacentral:rRNA from 1 species
GAUAAACGCUGGCGGCGUGCCUAAAACAUGCAAGUCGAACGGUUCUCGGGGCUUCGGUUUCGGGGAUAGUGGCAGACGGCUGAGUAACGCGUGGGUAACCUGUCCUUAAGUGGGGAAUAACUGCUCGAAAGAGUGGCUAAUACCGCAUAAGUUGGUUGGGGUAAGGCCCGAUCAGUAAAGCCUUUGGGUGCUUAAGGGGGGGCCCGCGUCCGAUUAGCUAGUUGGUGGGGUAACGGCCUACCAAGGCGACGAUCGGUAGCUGGUCUGAGAGGAUGAUCAGCCAGACUGGGACUGAGACACGGCCCAGACUCCUACGGGAGGCAGCAGUUAGGAAUUUUGCGCAAUGGACGAAAGUCUGACGCAGCAACGCCGCGUGGGGGAAGAAGGUUUUCGGAUUGUAAACCCCUUUUCUGUGGGAAGAUAGUGACGGUACCACAGGAAUAAGCCUCGGCUAACUACGUGCCAGCAGCCGCGGUAAUACGUAGGAGGCGAGCGUUGUCCGGAUUUACUGGGCGUAAAGGGCGUGUAGGCGGUAGCGCAAGUCGGGUGUGAAAGCCCCUGGCUUAACCAGGGAGGGUCAUCCGAAACUGCGCUGCUUGAGGGCAGCAGAGGAAAGUGGAAUUCCCGGUGUAGUGGUGAAAUGCGUAGAUAUCCGGGAGGAACACCAGUGGCGAAGGCGGCUUUCUGGGCUGCACCUGACGCUGAGGCGCGAAAGCGUGGGGAGCGAACUGAAUUAGAUACUCAGGUAGUCCACGCUGUAAACGAUGGACACUAGGUGUGGGGGGUAUCGACCCCUUCCGUGCCGAAGCUAACGCAUUAAGUGUCCCGCCUGGGGAGUACGGCCGCAAGGCUA